rnacentral:rRNA from 1 species
AACGAACGCUGGCGGCAGGCCUAACACAUGCAAGUCGAACGCUCCGCAAGGGGAGUGGCGCACGGGUGAGUAACACGUGGGAACCUACCUUCUGGUACGGAACAACCAAGGGAAACUCUGGCUGAUACCGUAUACGACCUCCGGGUGAAAGAUUGAUCGCCGGAAGAGGGGCCCGCGUCCGAUUAGGUAGUUGGUGAGGUAACGGCUCACCAAGCCUGCGAUCGGUAGCUGGUCUGAGAGGANGACCAGCCACACUGGGACUGAGACACGGCCCAGACUCCUACGGGAGGCAGCAGUGGGGAAUAUUGGACAAUGGGCGCAAGCCUGAUCCAGCCAUGCCGCGUGAGUGAUGAAGGCCUUCGGUUGUUAAGUAC